AGCUUUGCGCAGUGGCAGUAUCGUAGCCAAUGAGGUUUAUCCGAGGCGCGAUUAUUGCUAAUUAAAAAUAAAAAAGAAAGU
rnacentral:snRNA from 1 species